rnacentral:rRNA from 1 species
GAUGAACGCUGGCGGCGUGCCUAAUACAUGCAAGUCGAGCGAACAGAUGAGGAGCUUGCUCCUCUGACGUUAGCGGCGGACGGGUGAGUAACACGUGGAUAACCUACCUAUAAGACUGGGAUAACUUCGGGAAACCGGAGCUAAUACCGGAUAAUAUAUUGAACCGCAUGGUUCAAUAGUGAAAGACGGUUUUGCUGUCACUUAUAGAUGGAUCCGCGCCGCAUUAGCUAGUUGGUAAGGUAACGGCUUACCAAGGCGACGAUGCGUAGCCGACCUGAGAGGGUGAUCGGCCACACUGGAACUGAGACACGGUCCAGACUCCUACGGGAGGCAGCAGUAGGGAAUCUUCCGCAAUGGGCGAAAGCUUGACGGAGCAACGCCGCGUGAGUGAUGAAGGUCUUCGGAUCGUAAAACUCUGUUAUUAGGGUAGAACAAAUGUGUAAGUAACUAUGCACGUCUUGACGGUACCUAAUCAGAAAGCCACGGCUAACUACGUG